AGGGCAGCACAGUGGCACAGUGGGUAGCACUGUGUCUUGCAGCUGGGAGUCCUGGGUUCAAUUCCAACCUGGGCCCUUUCUGUAAGCAGUUUGUAUGUUCUCCCUGUGUCUGUGUGGGUUUCCUCCGAGGACUUCGGUUUCCUCCCACAUUCCAAAAACAUACAAGAGACAGGUAGGGGGUCUCCCUGGUGCCCACAGGUGAAUGUGAUAGGUGCUGGGGCACUCCUGAGUGUGGCUAUGAGCAGCCAGGCUUAGGAGUGUGUAGGCCAUGGAUAAGAUAGGAUAGGUUAGCUAGAGGGAAGAAUUAGUUCCUGGGGAGGGGGGUCCCCUUU